GCGCCCGUAGCUCAGCUGGAUAGAGCGUUGGUUUCCGGUACCAAGUCUGCCGGGGGUUCGAAUCCCUCCGGGCGCGC
rnacentral:tRNA from 1 species